rnacentral:rRNA from 1 species
UCCGUAGGUGAACCUGCGGAGGGAUCAUUACACAAAUAUGAAGGCGGGCUGGAACCUCUCGGGGUUACAGCCUUGCUGAAUUAUUCACCCUUGUCUUUUGCGUACUUCUUGUUUCCUUGGUGGGUUCGCCCACCACUAGGACAAACAUAAACCUUUUGUAAUUGCAAUCAGCGUCAGUAACAAAUUAAUAAUUACAACUUUCAACAACGGAUCUCUUGGUUCUGGCAUCGAUGAAGAACGCAGCGAAAUGCGAUAAGUAGUGUGAAUUGCAGAAUUCAGUGAAUCAUCGAAUCUUUGAACGCACAUUGCGCCCUUUGGUAUUCCAAAGGGCAUGCCUGUUCGAGCGUCAUUUGUACCCUCAAGCUUUGCUUGGUGUUGGGCGUCUUGUCUCUAGCUUUGCUGGAGACUCGCCUUAAAGUAAUUGGCAGCCGGCCUACUGGUUUCGGAGCGCAGCACAAGUCGCACUCUCUAUCAGCAAAGGUCUAGCAUCCAUUAAGCCUUUUUUUCAACUUUUGACCUCGGAUCAGGUAGGGAUACCCGCUGAACUUAA